rnacentral:rRNA from 1 species
UACGUAGGGUGCAAGCGUUAUCCGGAAUUAUUGGGCGUAAAGAGCUCGUAGGCGGUUUGUCACGUCUGCUGUGAAAACUGGAGGCUCAACCUCCAGCCUGCAGUGGGUACGGGCAGACUAGAGUGCGGUAGGGGAGAUUGGAAUUCCUGGUGUAGCGGUGGAAUGCGCAGAUAUCAGGAGGAACACCGAUGGCGAAGGCAGAUCUCUGGGCCGUAACUGACGCUGAGGAGCGAAAGCGUGGGGAGCAAACAGG